UCUCCCGUGAGGGAGCAGUCUCGCCUGGCCAUAUAGGCAACAGGCAACGGGGGUUGCGUUCGUUACCCCACUGAAGGGAACAGUUCAAACCACGAACUGACGACGACCAUGCAUCACCUGUGCAGCACCCUCGAAGGCUCCCAAGCUUUCACUCGGGAUGCAGCUGCAUUUCUAACCUUGGUAAGGUUCUUCGUUUGUCGACGAAUUGAGCCUCAUAAUCCACCGCUUGUGCGAGUCCCCGUCUAUUCCUUUGAGUUUUAAGCUUGCGCUCGUACUACCCAGGCGGCUCGCUUACCGCGUUAGCUUAGUCUCGCAGAGGGUCGAUACUCCGCGAAACGAGCGAGCAACGUUGAGGGCCAGGACUAC
rnacentral:misc_RNA from 1 species